rnacentral:rRNA from 1 species
AUAAAGUCGUAACAAGGUUACCGUAGGUGAACCURCGGUAGGAUCAUU